GUCUACGGCCAUGCCACCCUGAACACGGCGGAUCUCGUCUGAUCUCAGAAGCUAAGCAGGGUUGGGCCUGGUUAGUACUUGGAUGGGAGACCACCUAGGAAUACUAGGUGCUGUAGGCU
rnacentral:rRNA from 1 species